rnacentral:rRNA from 1 species
AGGACACUGCUAGACGCGGUCCCUGCGGCUUAAUUUGACUUCAAUGGCGAAAACUCACCCGACCCGGACACUGAAAGGAUUGACAGACUGAUAGCUCUUUCGUUACUCGAUGGGUGGUGGUGCAUGGUCGUUCUUAGUUGGCGCAGCGAUUUGACUGGUUUAUUUCGAUAACCAUCGAGACUCUGGCCUAUUAAAAUCGUUGGUCCAUCUGCCAUGUGCGCGCGCCUUCUCAAGUUGCAUUUCGCUGCUCUCCCCGGAAAACACGACUGUCUUGAGGUCCCUUUCGAGCAAAAUGUUGAACGGCUUGACAUCUGUCCACUCUGAAGAAAUCGGCGAGAGCGUCCUUCCGCGACCGAAUCGGGCAACCCGUGAACGAUCGUCGGCUGUUCGACCCGAAACUGGCCUUCUUUGUCGAAAGCGACGAACUCCUAGUACAUGGGAAUGAACACCUCGCCGUGAUGACUCCCCUGCCCUUUGUACAAAGCGCCGAUCGACGCUAUCACGAGACCGACUUCGAGA